rnacentral:tRNA from 1 species
GGGGAUUUAGCUCAGUGGUAGAGCACUUGCUUUGCAAGCACAAGGCCCUGGGUUCGGUCCCCAGCUCCG